UGCAACCAAUCUGUAGAGUAAUCAAUUGUCCGUUUUGGUUUGAUUGAAGGUUUCCUCUCCAUUUAUUUAUAAAUCUCUUCUUUCAUGUUUUUUUUCAAUCAAAACUUUCUCAAUUUGUUCUCGCGAUGAAGUCGAACGGGAAAGCCAUAGUCUCUCACGAUCCGAUUGUGAAGAAACCAAACGGCAAGGAUGCUGUCUCCUCCACCGUUCUGGAUCAACCAACCGGUAAAAACGCCGUCUCCUCCGCCAAGGUCCAUAAGGUGAUGCCCGCCGUCUCCUCCGCUGUACCGAUCCAACCAAGCGGUAAAACCGCCGUCUCCUCCGUCAAGGUUGAUAAGGUUCGCUCCUCCGCCAAGGUUGAUAAGGUGUUGUUUUUUAGAGACGUCUCAUUUGGCAUACAAGAAGGGGAGUUAAGGUUUCGGCUCAUCCAUUUAUGGGAGGCUCGAAAUGUGCUUACAAAAACACUUAUUGGUCUAGAGAUGCUCCUCAUCGAUGAACAGGGAUCUGUUAUCCAAGGUUUCAUCCCAUCAGCAAGGAUUGAUACCUACUUGCCACACAUGAAAGCAGGAUCUGUCUACAGACUGAAUAAGUGUUUCGGAUCAAACAGCAAAGUCAUGUACCGGGUUGCUGAGCCUAGGGUAGUCAUCAGUUUCACUUCGAACUCUGUCCUCUCUGAUCUUGAGGACAGUCGGGUUAAUUUCCCUGAUGAUCGGUUCCGUUUCCAUAGUUACAAAGAGUUUGAGGCAGCAUGUGACCUCAAAGGUGAUCUUUACGAUUAUGUUGGGCACUUGAAACUGGUGAAUGGGCAGACACUGAAUGCUAGUGUGGUGCUUGACGAAGAGGAAAUAGCUUCGACCCGGCGGCUUUUGCUCCAUGUUCAAACUCAUGAUGGACCAGUGAUGAAGCUCUACCUAUGGGACCAGGCUGCAGCAGACUUUUGUGCCAAAUUCAAGUUGCAUGGAAGCACUCCAAGGGUUAUUUUAGUAACCACCGUAAACCCAAAACGUUUUGGAGGUGCUCUUGCUCUUGCUUCAAUGUCAUCCUCUCGGGUGUUUUUGGACUUUGAUGUUCAACCAACCCGUGAUUAUGUCACUUGGUUGGACUCAAAUUUAGAUGUGGCUAAUAGGGUUGAUGCAAAGGUGGUCACAUAGACUGAAACAAUGACAAUAGGGGAGCUAUUCUCCUAUAUCAAGCAGGAAGCAGCAAAGGUUGCUUGGUUUGAGUGCACAGCAACUGUUGAUGCUGUUUUCCACGGUUCUCCUUGGUAUUAUAUUGGCUGCGGUGUGUGCCAUACUAAGGCAAUCAAAGGGCCUACAUCGCUCAUGUGCCAGAAAUGUGGAAAACAUGAAGUAGAUGGCGUUCCGCAGUACCUCACAAAGCUGUCUGUUUAUGACAACAAUGACCAGGCGGUUUUUGUUAUCCUUGGUGAAGCUGGGCAUGAGCUGACUGGAAAACAAGCAUCUGAGUUGGUUGAGAGCUACUUUGAGGCCAAUGAGAGCAUGGGUGACAGCAUGGGCGAUGAUCACUUAAUCCCGGUGCCACAGACCUUGGUUGAU